rnacentral:rRNA from 1 species
GUGGGGAAUAUUGGGCAAUGGGCGCAAGCCUGACCCAGCAACGCCGCGUGAAGGAUGAAGGCUUUCGGGUUGUAAACUUCUUUUAUCAGGGACGAAAUAAAUGACGGUACCUGAUGAAUAAGCCACGGCUAACUACGUGCCAGCAGCCGCGGUAAUACGUAGGUGGCGAGCGUUAUCCGGAUUUACUGGGUGUAAAGGGCGUGUAGGCGGGACUGCAAGUCAGGUGUGAAAACCACGGGCUCAACCUGUGGCCUGCAUUUGAAACUGUAGUUCUUGAGUGCUGGAGAGGCAAUCGGAAUUCCGUGUGUAGCGGUGAAAUGCGUAGAUAUACGGAGGAACACCAGUGGCGAAGGCGGAUUGCUGGACAGUAACUGACGCUGAGGCGCGAAAGCGUGGGGAGCAAACAGGAUUAGAAACCCUAGUAGUCC